AGUCGGCCUAUGAUGCCUACUGGGUACCUGUUGUUUUGGUACUCAUGCUACGCUCUGCAUCUAUUUUGUGAUGCAGGUCCGAGCACUAGUAGCCAGCGUUGAUCGAGCUUGGAGUAGACUUAUCCGGAGACGGGGGUGAGCACAUGGCGUUUUGUACUAUUUCAGUCUCCAUCUGUAUAUAUAGACUUGUCUUUUUCCUUUCGAGACAGUCCAGUCUCUGUUGUCCAGUUUUUGGACUUGUACUCAUUUUGUAGUAGCUCUGUACUGGUGACUUCCAGGUUCUGGGAGGG
rnacentral:lncRNA from 1 species